UACGUAGGGUGCGAGCGUUGUCCGGAAUUAUUGGGCGUAAAGAGCUUGUAGGCGGUUUGUCGCGUCUGCUGUGAAAAUCCGGGGCUCAACCCCGGACUUGUAGUGGGUACGGGCAGACUAGAGUGUGGUAGGGGAGACUGGAAUUCCCGGUGUAGCGGUGGAAUGCGCAGAUAUCAGGAGGAACACCGAUGGCGAAGGCAGGUCUCUGGGCCACUACUGACGCUGAGAAGCGAUAGCAUGGGGAGCGAACAGG
rnacentral:rRNA from 1 species